CCCCUAAAUAAGCCUUGGUUAUUCUGGCCGCAGCCGAAGACGAAACCAGUAAAAACAUCUGUUGAAGUCAAAGUUAACUUCUCGCUGGCAAAGAAGCCGAUUGUGAAGGAGCGGUCUCCAUACUGUUGGCCGUAAACACAGGUGGAGGCGGAACAAUCGCUGGGGACACCGGAGGCUGCAAGUUGAGAACACGCGGCGGAGUUGCAGGAGAUGUUGGAGUAAGAGGUAGAGAGAGAAGGGUCGAAGAUGGGAUCUUUCUGUUUGUAACAAGAUACAGAACAUGGUCGGCACUGUGUCCAAGUGAGACUGCUGCCGGUGUCGAAUACAAGCGAGAGUUGCUUCUGGGGCGAGCCCAAGCCGACACUGACGAUGUAGUUUCCAGAACCAAGUACGCUGGCAGACUGGGCGGGAAUCACGGUGGCUUCUGAUUGUGCAAGUGGGUCGGGGAUUCUGUAAUUACGGUUUGAGUCGUUGAAAUGGGAGUGGAUUGAGUUGACUCGGGCUUCGUCUUGCUUGAGGAUUUGUAUGUGAUAUUCAUCUUGAUCGGAAGGGUUACUGUUUGAUUUGACUUGGUGGACUUGGUUGCAUGGGCCGUAUUUGUGGACCACUUUCAGUACGGAUGCCGCCUUAUUGUCAUAACCUGAAUUGAGAAAUGUAUAGGUUUGUCGUUAGAUACAAUUUUUUUUUAACAAACGAUAUUAUCUACAUACUUACAUGGUGCCAAUUACUUUUAUGAAGUACAAUAUAUAUAAGUGUGUGUGUGUGUGUGGUGACACGAGUUGUUUUUACACAUGCUUUUAUGGAGCCUAUUCGUAAUGUAUUUCAAUGAUCUGAACUGUUUAUCUUUUAUGUUUCCCCUCAAAGAUCUUGUUUGCCAAAAAUAACCUAGAUCUAAAAUCAUAUGACUGUUGGAUUAACGAUUUAGGUUUUUUUUUUUUUUUUUUUUUUUUUUUCGUAAAACCAUAUUUGUCAAUUUUCUUCACUAAAAGAUAGACGGUUCAUAUCGUUAAAAUACAUGACGGAAUGGGUACAAAAUUAAAAAUAGAAACAUAUGAUACAAAUUUUACCCAUAAAUAUAAACAUACCAAAUGUAACACUUAUGACACUAAAUAGAUUUAUUUGGAAAAUUAAACUUAAAUAUGCUGACAUGUAAUUAUUUCAUUACUAAAAUAAUGACAUAGAUAAAAAUAAAAAUAAAAUAAGAUUUCAAUCGAUGGAAUAGAAAAAUGAGGGAUUUAAACCUAAUUUUUCUAUUAAAAUAUUUCCAUGAACUUGGCACUCAUUCAACACAAUGCAUGCAAUGAUCCAUAUAUAAAGCAAGUAGAAUACGCUUCAUUGAGAUUGAAAAGACAACAUAUGCGUGCAUGGAUAGAGGAGUUAGCUAGAGAGAGAUAUGGGAUCGACCAUUGGUGGAGGGUCUGCAGGUGUUUGCUGGUAGAAGAGAGAUGACUUCAACUGUGUAAGUACGUGAAAGGAGGUUUGUUUUUGUAUCUCUUACUGCCAAAGAGCAGAGAAUUAGGCAUAGAAAUGCUGAUAAACCAAUGGAAAAUCUAAGGAAGGAGGAGGAGCUAGAAAUGGGAGUUGCCAUGAUAGCAGAUUAGCAAGUCUUCUUGCUAUUUCCUCUAGAUUAUGUUGCUCCUGUAAGCAUACGAUCUCAACCUUAUAUACUAAUUGGAAAUUGGAAGACAUGCAGGGAUGGCCACCGUGUUGUCGGGUUUAAUUAUUUUUCUAUUGAAAAGUACAUUGAUCAAUUGGUAAUUACCUACCACCACUCAACUCGUCAAAGUCCAUAGAGACCAUAUAUACACCAACGUUCUCAACACGUUCAAGUCCACUAUAUUACUUCGUUGCAUUCCUCAAGGGACUGUUAGAGAAUAUUACUCGAGUUCAUCCGAUUGUGAUUAAGAAAUCUCGUUAAACAAAUGUUAUUGACAUGCCCCAACUUCGAUAUCCCCAAAUACCAGAAUGGACACAUGUUGGCCGACACUCGAGUGUGACGAAGCCAUAAUGAUACGCAUGCAAGUUAUAAAAGAAGAACGAAUGUAAAUAAAAAUAGGUAAAUUUAAAAUAUAAUGGAAUGUGGAAAUGCAGGAACAUGUUUAGAGUAUACAUCUAAUCAAGAAUAAUGUGAAAGAAUUAUUAUACAAAGGUACAAAUAAAGGAAUGGGUUCUACGCUGAGAAGACUCGAAGAUACCCAUGUGAAAGUGCCCUGACGCCAGGAUCGUACGCCUCGAUUCUAAAUCCUAAAGGGAGCUGUUUGGGCCCAAAAUAAUAGUUUGGGCCGAGGGCAGGAUCACUCUCGGCCUAGGAAGCCGUGCGGCGAAAGGAUUAUGGAUCGGUCAGCUCAUGGGCUUCCAAGCCCAGGUCAGUUAAAUCAGAACGCAAGUCGAGUCCUAGUAUAAUCAGGACUCUCGACGAGAUCAGUAGUCUGGAAGGCGAAUCUGGUUCAGUUAAGGACCAAAUUCGUAGUCCUAGUGGAGAUAGGACUGGUCGAGGUGAUGUUAAUCCGGAGAAGGAAACAUAGUCCGAUUAGGAUUGUAACUCGGGCUCGGUGUUCCGCUACUAUAAAUACAAGACAUUCAGCGACGGAAAAAAGUCCCCUGCAAAUCAAUACAAAAUUGCCCUGCGCAAACUCUCACAACUUGAGAUCUUUUCUUUUUCCUUUUUUCGCUGACACAUCUUCCGUUGGCAUCAACAGCACUGUGGAAGCAACCGGUGAUAUCUUAAGUCGGCAUAGAUAGCUCUGUCACCGUAGAGUCAGUCGGUCUUGCAGUAUCUUCCGUUGGCAUCAACAGCACUGCGGCGAGAACGAUUGAUUACCUAUCCAAGUCUCGGUCGAGAAGGGUUUCUGAAUCCUUAUUGGUCGAGGUCAUCUCAUUAGCCUUUUCGGCGAAGUGAGGUGUUACAGUUAUUAUAUUCGGCACGUUGAAAGCCGAAUUCGGUUCGUGAACUUCGUAAGAAUAGCAGCCUUGUCUUCAGGCUCGAGAACCCAAGAGGCCGAGACGUGUUCCUUUCUCGGCCGCAAUCGCAAGACGCAGAAGUCAGUAGCGCGACCCAACGCAACAUCAACAAAUUUACUCCUCGGCCGAGCUCGGCCGACGAGUUGGCACGCCCCGCAUUCAUCGAAGGACGUAGUUAGCUCAUUAAUUACUCGGCCUGCGCGCCACGUAGGCUUGGUAGUUUUUAGGGUCAACCUGAGCGUAAAACAAAGGGUGAGUGGACCAAAGUGUAUAAUGCUAAUACUAAUAAUAGUAAACCAUUUUCUUUCUGAACAUAUUAACCCAUUGUUCUGAAAACUCAAAUAGUACUACAUAAUAGGUUUUAUGAAAACUCUAGCAUGUCAUGAAAACGUUCAUAAAACAUGUACUAUAAACCAGUGCUCAGUAAUGGUAUCAUAGUCACCCGAAGUCAAAUCCAUAAAACCUUCGAAAAUCCAAAAUAGUAAAGUACUCAACUAGGGGUAUCAUAGUCGCUCAAAGGUAUAACCAUCACCUGAAGGUGAAGCUGUAAGAAAUAUAACAUAACACAUCGACACUAGCCGUGGCUAGUGAAGCUGUCUGACAUUGGUUUCAUCAAUGAUGCUGGGAUUAUGUCAUAAAUAUCCUCAACUCUAUCCUAUGGCCUUAGGUGACUACAUACGCGUGUUGUGUGUAUGUGCUGUAUGAUAACCCAUUAGAUAAGCACAAAAAAUGUAUCUCAAAAUCUCAUAACAAAUCACCGGAGCUAAAAUACUCAAAGCAUCAAUUCAUAAACCAUGAUAAUUCAUAUCGUUUCAUAAAAUGUAAAUUCAAUAAAUCGUAAAUAAAUCAUAAAACAUACAAUCAUGAAAUCAUGCUUUUCGUGAAUGCAACCCUAAUAUUUUAUAAAACAUGCAAAUUAAGAAGACACUCACAAAUAUUCUGUUGGCGGGGAGUCGCUCGAACUAGAAAGGACGGGGCCACUUCCAACCGACACACCUAAAUACAAAUAAAGAGCAUUUAAUAAAAUUCUACUAAAACAUUAGAAUUUGGAAAAACAGAUAGCGGAUUCGGAUUUGGCACGUUGAAAAACCUAAGGAGGGACCUUGGGUUCCCCUACGUGCCACCACUGAGCGGCGGCCCGAAAUGCCACCUGCCACCACACAUGCCGCCACGAAGCAGUGGCCUGGAAGGACACGCACCACCGCACUCGUAGCACGUGCUAAUAUGGUAGCUGAAAAAUUCGCCUACACCGUCAUGGAUGGUGGCUGAGCACAGUACCUCCGACGGAGGCAUGUAUGCUCCACACACCGACUAUGGCAAUCCUCCACGGGCACCCAUGCGUGGCCUACGCUUCAACUAAGGAAUCUGGGAAUUGGGUCUAGGUCGUGUCGGAUCUGGGCUUUAGGUUCCUGGGUCGGGUCUGAUCCGGAUCGAAUCUAGGCUUUGGGUUACUGGGUUGGAUCUAGGCUAGGGUUAAUGGGCCAAACAUUUGGGUUGCAUGGCCCAAAUGUUUGGGUUGGGUUAUCGGUUGUAGGUAGAGUUUAACUCGAUUUCAGGCCGUGGGUCAACCAGAUUCCACAAAGAAGAAAGCCGGAGCUUGGAAAGCUUCGAUCAUCCCCAAGACUCAACUGAAACUAGUCAUUCAAUAUACCAAAUUGAAGUCCAAAGAACAAGGAGUUGAAAUAUACCUUUGGUUUCCUCGACCGUGGCCGGAGUUGGCCGGAAAAUGGCUUGGAAGUUCAAGUUCUCAUCGAAAAACUAGGGAAGUCUCCCCGAGCUGAUUUCAUGUUUAAACUUUCACCAAAAUCAUUUUUAUUCAACCAUUGAAUACUCUAGACCACGUGGGAAGAACAUCAAAGGGUGGUUCGUGACUUAUCUUUGUCGAGGACGGCAAUAACUCAUCGGGAAAGGUUUGCAUAGUAAAAGCACUUGCUGUGCAGUGGAAAAGAUUGAGGAGAAGGGGGUGAUCUCGUCUUGUGCUCGCUGAAGUGGGAUGGUGGUUAAGGUCCAAAUGUAUGUGGGUGUGAGUGUGUGAGGGUGUGCUCGGCAAUGGAGAAGGAAAGAGUUGCAAAGAUGGGGGAGAGACAAGGAGAGAAAGAGAGAGUUCUAAAGAGUCAUUGGGAAGAGAAAUGAGAGAAAAAAGAGGGAAAAGAAAGAGAGGGCAGGGAGACAACAAAAUAGGGGUGGGCCCCACUGGUACACCAACCAAAGUGAGAAAAUUUGAAAUGAGAAAAUAUCUCGCGGGACAUAAAAUUACCAAGAUGCCCUACUGUUCCAAAUUUUGUAAAAUUCACGUUUUAGCUUCAAAUUCAAUUCCACUUGCCCCCAUGCGUUCGUAGCGACGCAUGCUAUAAGGAUAUGCCAAAGAAACGAAUCUCAAGUGACACAACAAGGCGGUUAACAAAAGUCAACGUUUUUCACCUCGGAUGGCAUUUUCGUAAAUUCACGAUUUAAAAUUAUAAAAACCCUAAAAUUGGGGACUAGUUAUCACAGUUAUAAUUGAAAUUGUUUAUUUUUUUAAUUAAAAAUUUUGCUACAUUGAAGAGUUUCAAACAAUAAAUCUAAAUUACUCUUACCUAUAAACAUAGACCUGCCCACACCACUAGUUUUCUUAAUCAUAGUUUAAAUAUUUAUCAUCUCUAAAAAUAAUAAUAAUAAUAAGAGAACAUUUGUAGUUCACAAUGAAAUUUUUGAAGUGCUAAAUUAGCACUCAUUCAUUAUUUCAACCAAGUUUUAAUAUUAAUAAAAGUAGUAGAUGGCACUUUAUUGCGUAGAGGUGGGUUAGAAAAACCAAAAAUCGAAAAAAAAGGAUUGAAAACCGAACUGUAAUCGAAAAAAAUUGAACCAAAAGUACAAAACCGAAUCGAACCCCUUUAGCCACUAAUUAUUCAAUAUGCCAAUCCCUUUGUUCACACCACCACCUCCCAUGGAUCAGGAAAUGCGUUUGCUCCGACUCAGGUGUUCGCACCGCCACCUCCCAUGAAUUUGUCCUCGGUGGCUUUGUUGCCUCCAGUGACCUUUUUCUUGGUGGGUCAUCUUUCACUAGCUUUCUUUGGUUUGUGGUUGUUGUUUUGAUCUACAUGGUGCUUUGUGGAGGUUGUUGGAGUUGUCUUUUCCAUCAUUUUUGUGGAUUUGGUUGGCUGUUUGGAAUUCUAAUUCUCGGCAAUGCAUUGCUUCUACUGCAGCAGUUCAAGAAGGAUUGUAGUGUCUUUGUUUGGUUUUUUCUGUUCUGGGCUCAAAACUUUGUUUUGGGGUUCCAUAUCUUUUUUUCCUGUUUUUUUUUUUUUUUUUUUUUUUUUUUGUAACUAGAUGUCUUUUCUUUGUAAUUUGGUGUGUUGUUAGUAAUAAAUUUACCUUUUAUAAAAGAAAACGUAUUAUUCAUGAUAAUUACUGUUACUUAUCCAUGAAUACUAGUUUCAAGUAACUUUUCAUACCAUGGUUGGUUAUAAAUAUAUAUGAAUCACACAUUCAUUCAUACAAUAAUUGAAUGUGGUGCAAAAGGGAAGUUAAUAAUGGUAAAGGCAAUCAAUGGUUCAAAUUUUUGAGUGAGAUAGUAAUGCAUCACGUCAUGUUAACAGUUUAGAAUUCAUGUAAUAAUACAUGUUAUAACUAUUACUAAUAUAUAUACAUAAAUUUGUCCUUGAUCAUUGUCAUAUUAUAACUAUUCGACAUGGCUUGCUAGUGCUGCUAUUAUGGUGGACUCUUGAAGUCUAUAAAGCAUGGUGGAGUGCUGGCUUAGGCAUUAGUGAGAGCUUGACCCACCUAAUUCAUCGACAUUUUCUUUCUUUUCUUUUUCCUCCAUCUUUUUAAUUUCUCUUUGCCUUUCCGAGACAUUUACGAGUGACAAAAAGGUAAACAUGAACGACUUUUGCCUCGUCGUGUACAAGGGGAGAUGCAAAGUUUGAGUUUUGUUGACCAGCUGCGUUUUUGGUAAAAAUUAACGACUUUUGACUCGUGCUUGGUCUACCUCGAAGAAUUGUGUGUAACAUUCAUGAUGAUCUGUAGCGGUUUUGGUUUUUUUGGUUGGGUUCGUGGCAAUGGCCAUGCAUGUGCACCACUAGUUCUGAUGCAUGUUUCUUUUUGUUGUGACCUGAAUUAGUGAAUCAAUUUCCAAACCUCUGUCAUCAAUUUCAAAACUUAAGCCAUCAAUUUCAAUUCCCGUUUCCCAUCCUCCACAUCCAUGGUUUCAUUCCUUACUUCUCCUACCCUUCCCAAGUGGCUCCGGGUUUCCUCGACCCCAUAUAUUUGCAGAUCUUCAGUCACUCUCCUCCAUCGCGUUUUGACGUGAUUCUCUCAGGAAGUGCAUACCUCUCUAAGAGGAUUUUUGUCAAACUAACCACUUCACUUAAUAAGGAUAUUGACAUAUUUUUCACAGAAUGAUCAAAAUGUUUACGGUGGACAAACUCAAGGACCACUUUCAUCAAUUUUCAUUAUCAGAGAACAAAGUGAAGAGUUAUGCCAAUUUCAUGAAACAUUUUAGUGAAAAAGCCUAGAACAAAAUAAACCUAGGAUCCCCCAUAGCCACUAAUUAUUCAAUAUGCCAAUCCCUUUGUUCACACCACCACCUCCCAUGGAUCAAGAAAUGCGUUUUGCUUCGACUCAGGUGUUCACACCGCCAUCUCCCAUGAAUUUAUCUUGGGUGGCUUCGUUGCCUCUGGUGACCUUGUUGUUGGUGGGUCAUCUUUCACUGGCUUUCUUUGGUUUGUGGUUGUUGUUUUGAUCUACAUGUUGCUUUGCGGAGGUUGUUGGAGUCGUCUUUUCCAUCAUUUUUGAGGAUUUGGUUGGUUGUUUGGAAUUCUGUUUCUCAGCAAUGCUUUGCUUCUGCAGUAGCAGUUCAAGCAGGAUUGUAUGGUCUUUGUUUGGUUUUCUGUUCUGGGCUCAAAACUUUGUUUUGGGGGUCCAUAUCUUUUUUUCCUGCUUUUUUUUUUUUGGUAAUAACUAGACGUCUUUUCUUCGUAAUUUGGUGUACUGUUAGUAAUAAAUUUACCUUUUAUAAAGCAAAACGUAUUAUUCAUGAUAAUUACUGUUACUUAUCCAUGAAUACUAGUUUCAAAUAACUUUUUCAUACCUUUGUUGGUUAUAAAUAUAUGUGAAUCACACAUUCAUUCAUACAAUAAUUGAAUGUGGUGCAAAAGGGAAGUUAAUAAUGGUAAAGGUAAUCAAUGGUUCAAAUUUUUGAGUGAGAUAGUAAUGCGUUACAUCGUAUUAACAGUUUAGAAUUCAUGUAAUAAUCGUGUUAUAACUAUUAAUAAUAUUUAUACAUAAAUUUGUCAUUGAUAAAUGUCAUAUUAUAGCUAUUUGACAUGGCUUGAUAGUGCUGCUAUUAUAAUGCUUACUACAUAAUGAUGUCAGUGGAGGACAUCCAUGCAUGCUGGAACUGCAGGAAUAUGGAAUCGUGAAUUUUAAUUCAAGUGGUAAUUAGCAAGUCAAUGGCGGUCCACUCUAACUUUGACAUUUAAGUCGUUGUCUUACGCUAAUUACUAAAAUGAGUUUAAUUAGGUCUGUCUUAUCAGUUCAAACAACCCAAAAAAUUCCAAACCCAAAAGAAAAAUCAAACCAAUACUUGACAAAUCAAACCAAUACUUGUGUAGUAUUUUGCAGACAGAGACAGAUUUGGAAAAGAUAUGUAUGGCCGAGAGAAAGCAAUUCCUGUCAAAUAUCGUUGAUCAAGUUUUCCAAGCUAGAAACUACGUAGCACGUACGCUUAUUUCCUGGUUGCACAUUUAGAUGUCCCUUUUACAAGUCAAUACUAAUUAAGUCAUCACCUCGAUUACAAAAUCAUAAUAUUUGGGCAACGACUCAUACUCUAAACAUCAUACUAGUAAUCACUUUCAACCUCAUGCCAUACGCUAUACGUAUUAUAUGUCACAUAAUUGGUAUUAAAAUGGGAAGCCCACGAUUUUACCGGACCUAGAAUCGUGGUAAGUGACUAAAUCAAAACAGAAAACAAACUUGUCCCUCAAGUAUAGGAGGGUUAUUAGCACGACCUGAAAUAAAACCCUAAAAACAAGGAACCCUAUCAACUAGGAAAUCCCAACAACUUCAACAAUAAAUCAUUGGCAACCAGCAGGUGCAAAUCCAACCUUUCCACCAGCAACGUCAUACACUACCUGCAACCUCUUCUGUUGAACGUUCCCAAUAAUCCCAACACUACUAUCAUCUUUGUUUCCGGCAAACGCCAAGCAAAACUGCGAAGCACUCUGCUGGAAUAAUAUUCCUGUUGCGUCCACGUCUACCGUAACCCCAUUGCCAAACACAAACCCUAUCGUUGGAAAGGUUAUCGUUUUGAAUCCACUGAAGUCGUAACACGUGUCCAGCAGGGAAGAAAUCGACUUAGCAGUUGGGUAUCUCUUCAUCACUUCUCGAAAUGCGUCCCGCAGCGCUGUGUACGCUGUGGCUGGGAGGCGAGUGAUGACCGUCCCCGAGUCGAUGAUUGUCCCCGAAAUCGAAAAUACUGAAGCCGAAAUUGGCAGUUGACUCCCACCGAUGUUGAUGCCGACCAGUCCGAGGCUGUAAUACGACGCGCCUUGAGAUAAUGUGGUGAGCGGCGUGAACUUGACGGCGUUACCUGAACUUCUGUUGUCGGAGUUACCUAAACUGAGGUAACCAGUGGAGCUUGAAGUGGAAGGGAGGCAGUAGGAGAAGAAUCUCUUGUACUUCUGAGCGGUUUGUUCAACAAGGGAGAUCUUGCUUCGACCGAGACCGAGCAAACCGGCGAUGCCCCUAAAUAAGCCUUGGUUAUUCUGGCCGCAGCCGAAGACGAAACCAGUAAAAACAUCUGUUGAAGUCAAAGUUAACUUCUCGCUGGCAAAGAAGCCGAUUGUGAAGGAGCGGUCUCCAUACUGUUGGCCGUAUACACAGGUGGAGGCGGAACAACCGCUAGCGACACCGGAGGCUGCAAGUUGAGAACACGCGGGGGAGUUGCAGGAGAUGUUGGAGUAAGAGGUAGAGAGAGAAGGGUCGAAGAUGGGAUCUUUCUGUUUGUAACAAGAUACAGAACAUGGUCGGCACUGUGUCCAAGUGA
rnacentral:lncRNA from 1 species